AGAAGGAACAACUGUUGUGUCUAAAAGGGCUACUGCCUUAUGCAGCCUAUUUGCUGCAUGAACUGUGCAUGAUGUAUGCCCAGGGACAAGCCUUUUAAGAAGUUCAUUAUUUGAAACAUAGUCGAGCCCACAGCUAUCAGGGACAUUUCUGAAACAAGUACCUUGGGCACCUAUGUGCUUCCAAAGCUGUAUGUGAAGCUACAUAACUACAUGAGUUGUGCCAUUCGCAGAAAGGUAGUCAAGAAUCGAACUUGUAAAGCCUGCAAGGACCAAACAUGUCUACCUGACUUAGACUUUUGAGUGCUGCCCCAUGACCUCCACCAAAG
rnacentral:lncRNA from 1 species